rnacentral:rRNA from 1 species
AGAGUUUGAUCAUGGCUCAGGAUGAACGCUGGCGGCGUGCCUAACACAUGCAAGUCGAACGGGGUGUUGACGCCGUUGAAGCUUCGGCAGAGACAUGUUAACACUUAGUGGCGGACGGGUGAGUAACGCGUGGGCAACCUGCCCCGUACUGGGGGAUAGCAGUUGGAAACGACUGAUAAUACCGCAUAAGCGCACGGUGUGGCAUCACACAGUGUGAAAAACUCCGGUGGUACGGGAUGGGCCCGCGUCUGAUUAGAUAGUUGGUGAGGUAACGGCUCACCAAGUCAGCGAUCAGUAGCCGGCCUGAGAGGGCGGACGACCACAUUGGGACUGAGACACGGCCCAAACUCCUACGGGAGGCAGCAGUGGGGAAUAUUGCACAAUGGGGGAAACCCUGAUGCAGCGACGCCGCGUGAGUGAAGAAGUAUUUCGGUAUGUAAAGCUCUAUCAGCAGGGAAGAAAGGCCCGCAAGGGAGAUGACGGUACCUGACUAAGAAGCUCCGGCUAAAUACGUGCCAGCAGCCGCGGUAAUACGUAUGGAGCAAGCGUUAUCCGGAUUUACUGGGUGUAAAGGGAGCGCAGACGGACACGCAAGUCUGAAGUGAAAACCCACGGCUCAACUGUGGGCCUGCUUUGGAAACUGCGUAUCUAGAGUGCCGGAGGGGCAAGCGGAAUUCCUAGUGUAGCGGUGAAAUGCGUAGAUAUUAGGAGGAACACCGGUGGCGAAGGCGGCUUGCUGGACGGUAACUGACGCUGAGGCACGAAAGCGUGGGGAUCAAACAGGAUUAGAUACCCUGGUAGUCCACGCAGUAAACGAUGAUAACUAACCGCUGGUCUUUUGUGGUUCAGUGGCCAAGCGAAAGCGAUAAGUUAUCCACCUGGAGAGUACGACCGCAAGGUUGAAACUCAAAGGAAUUGACGGGGGCCCGCACAAGCGGAGGAACAUGUGGUUUAAUUCGAUGAUACGCGAGGAACCUUACCCGGGCUCGAACGGCAGGUGAAGAGAUCCAGAGAUGGUGACGUCCUUCGGGACACCUGUCGAGGUGCUGCAUGGUUGUCGUCAGCUCGUGCCGUGAGGUGUCGGCUUAAGUGCCAUAACGAGCGCAACCCUUGCCAUUAGUUACCAGCAUGCAGUGAUGGGGACUCUAGUGGGACUGCCACCGCAAGGUGUGAGGAAGGGGGGGAUGACGUCAAAUCAGCACGGCCCUUACGUCCGGGGCGACACACGUGUUACAAUGGGAGUUACAGAGGGGCACUACCUUGUGAGAGGAUGGGAAUCUCGAAAAGCUCUCUCAGUCCGGGUCGGAGUCUGCAACUCGACUCCGUGAAGCUGGAUUCGCUAGUAAUCGCGCAUCAGCCAUGGCGCGGUGAAUACGUUCCCGGGCCUUGUACACACCGCCCGUCAAGCCAUGAAAGUCUGGGGCGCCUGAAGUUCGUGACCGCGAGGAGCGACCUAGGGCGAAACAGGUAAUUGGGGCUAAGUCGUAACAAGGUAACCGUA